UUAACGUAGAAGAAAUCCAAAAUGGUCUGCCAUAAGAACAACUAAAAGUCCACACGCUUUAACCAGAAAAUUUCGAUUCACAUAUAAAUUAGCGACGGUCUCUUCCAAAUUCUGCAACAAACUUCACCAAUUUUUGUUCCUUUCUUGAUCACCAAAAUGAAAGGCACAACCCCGGAAUCCCAGCCCCUUUACCCUUCUAUCUCCUCUCACACACCAGAAGAGGCUGGCCCUUCAUCGACGAUCGCUCAAGAUGCAGAGAAUCAUCACCAUCAGCAUUCUUCGGCACCAUCAUCUUCGUCUCUGCAGCCUCCGAGCAAUGAGAGCAAUGAGAAGUACUGGGGGACUCAUGUCAUGGGGACACCUGCUAUUCCCACACGCCACCCAGACAACAAGAAGGCAGCCCUGUGGGGUGCUGCUGCUAGUGAUCAAGCCGCCCAAUUCCAUCAUCCCUACCUUCAGUACAGCCCUGUCGAAAAACCAAGUAGCAGCCCAAUGGAAUCCAUUCUCCAGUCGUUCAAUUCUUGGAGCAAGAAGACUGAAAUCAUGGCUCACAACAUCUGGCACAAUCGUAUGUACAUGUUCCUUCUUCAUAUAUGUAUUUGCUUUGUUUGAAUUCAAGACCUUAGAGUCUUGAAAACCAUUCCAUCUUCAUUUUUUUUUGUUCAAAUUACAGUUCCCCUUUUGAUAUGUUCUUAAAACCAAUUUUCUUUGUAACAGUAAGGACUAGCCCAUCUGUUUCUGAAGCUGCCUGGGGAAAGAUGAACCUGACGGCGAAAGCAAUAACAGGGGGUGGAUUUGAGUCUCUAUACAAGAACACAUUUUCAACCUAUCCAAAUGAAAAGCUGAAGAAGACCUUUGCCUGUUAUCUGUCCACAUCAACAGGACCAGUUGCCGGAACCCUUUAUCUAUCUGAUGCUCAUGCAGCGUUCUGCAGCGAUCGUCCCUUAUCUUUCACUGCACCCUCUGGCCAGGAGACUUGGAGCUAUUACAAGGUUAUGGUUCCACUGAGCAAGAUUGGGGCGAUCAAUCCUGUAGUUAUGAGGGAUAAUCCAUCAGAGAAAUACAUCCAGAUUGUUACAAUUGAUGGACAUGAUUUCUGGUUCAUGGGUUUUGUUAAUUAUGAGAAAGCUUCUCGGCAUCUAACUGAAAGCCUCUCCAAUUUUGUAGCCCCGGGGAUAGCAGUAAACCCAUUUGCUGUGUAGCUGGUUCUUUUUAUCUUCAGUUUUUCAUCAUCUCCUCCACCUUUAUCUUGUAUUUUCCAGUGUUUUGCAUGCUUAAUUUGUUCUCAAUUUAUUUUUGUGAAUUAUUUAUAUUCAAAUCGUUUUAAAUUUUAUACUAAUUAAA
rnacentral:misc_RNA from 1 species